UUUGAAAGAAAAUCAUUUUCAUUUUUUUUGCUAUGAAUACAUAAUUACAGGAUACUUUUUAUAUUAACAUUUAUCCUGCACAUGGCUUAAUUCUUUCAUGCUUUAUGUAAGUUUUGGGGAGUUCCUUGCUAUUUUCUGUACAAACAAUAUAUGAUAUGACAAUAUUGACAGAUCUGUUUCUUCCUUUUUGGUUAUUAUCUGUUUGUUUCUUCUUUUGUUGGGAUCAAUCAUACCCCAAACCUCAGCAUCACGCAAUAUACCAGUGUAACAAACCUGCACGUGAUUAUAUGGUUUCCUCCUUUACUAGGUUACUGUUUUAAAUGACAUUGAUUUCUGCAUGUUUAACCAACUUUGCAUUUCUAGGAAAAGCCUACUUUUGUUAUGAUGUAUUUUUUUAUAUACAGCCGUGUCAUUUAAUGACAGGGUUACGUUCUGAGAAGUGUGUCAUGAGUCAAUUUUGUCAUCGUGCAAACAUCAUAGAGUGUACUUUCACGUGUAUAGUAGACUAUGCCAUCAAGAAACUAGCUA
rnacentral:lncRNA from 10 species